rnacentral:rRNA from 1 species
UGCAACCUACCUUGUACAGGGGUAUAGCUCGGGGAAACUCGAAUUAACCCCCCAUAAUAUCAUGGUGUGGCAUCACAUUAUGAUUAAAACUUCGGUGGUACAAGAUGGGCAUGCGUUUGAUUAGUUAGUUGGCAGUGUAACGGACUACCAAGACGAUGAUCAAUAGGGGACCUGAGAGGGUGAUCC